GCCAACGGUUUAUAAGUUGGCUGCAGUCCUGUGGCAAGCCAGUCGCUGAGGUGCUUGCGAAGGAGACAACAAACAUUACAGAACAGCCUCAUCAACGCGAAAGAUAUGAGAUUGCUGCUGUUAUUGAGUGUUUUUGGCAUGGCCGCAAGUUUGGAAAUAAUCCCUUUCGACGAGAAGUUUAAGUACGGAGAAACCAAGGGAGAUUUCCUGGGCCCAAGUGAAUGGGGAAGGAGAUGGCCGCAGUGUGAUGGCAGGCGCCAGUCACCGAUCAACAUC